AAGAGCUCCUACCUCCUCUGUUCUUUUAAUCUCCUGCUGCGGGUGGCAGACAUGGGAGAGACAGGCAAGCUGCAAAGGGAAGUCGACGAAAUAAAAUUAAAGCCCUACAAUCGUGUUCGUGUCAAUGUAGAUGGGGUGCCCCCCUCGGUUUGCUCACAGAGGUGGGUGUGAGAUCCUACAGGACGGUCUGGAAGACAUCCCAUGGAAGGCACUUUAUUUUGCCCAGAAGCUGGAGGAAAAGCAGAAGAUACAUUAGUUUGCCAAGUAUGCUGCUGGAUGUUCAUUCAGCACUAGUGUUUAACAAAAGCCCGGUUUUAAAAUCAGAGGAUAUGAGUUGGGGGGGCCUUGAGGGCGCUGAACACUGACUAAGAGGAGAGAGCGCACAUUACAUGGAGACCAUGGUCCCCAUACCAGAAACAUGAGAGUAGAGAGAAGCAAAGCCAGCAUCGUGGAGCCAGUCCCUUUAUCCAGGAUCUUGGAGGGAUACAGUCUUCUGUAGAAAUUAAAUAAAGACUGAAUUCUUCAAUGGGUAUUUUGAGAAGAGAGCCACUGUAAGCUUAUACACUGUGAAUUGCAAAAUGUUACUGCCUCUGGGUGGACAGGUUUUAAAAAGACUUUUUUUUUUCCUCCUGGCAUGGCUGACAGAGGGAAGGCUGGGUUUCAAUCCCAUCUUUCCCUUCCCUUGCCCAGUGCUUCUUUAUGUGCACAACCUGCACAACUAUAUGUGGUUUGCAAACACGCAUAAGCAAAGACUAACAGCUUCUGAAACAAACUCUGAAUAAAAGAGGGAGCAUAUUAAGGCAGAUGGCAGAGGAGGUGAGCAGCAUGGGCAGAUAGAAGCAUCACAGAGACUACAAGAAGAAUGUGCCAGACCGGCUCAUAGUGGCCACACUGAUUAAGAAUUACCAUCAGCUCUUUAGGAUUUGGAAACUUGGAAACACAUUGUGUGUUCUUCCUGGUUUGUUAUAGAGUAUGUGUAUGUACUUCUUUCUCUUAAAAAUAUUUAUUUUUAAAGAAUUGACUUAUAAAAUUAUAUGUAUUUGUCAUGUAUAACACAAUAUUUUGAAGUACAGUCCUGUGUCAUAAGGAUAUGUUCUGAGAAAUCCAUCAAUUUUGUCAUUGUAUAAACAUGAUAGAGUGUAUUUACACAAACCUAGGUGGUAUAAACUACUACACACCUAGGCUACAUAAUGUAGCCUAUUGCUCCUAGGCUAUAAACCUGUAUAACAUGCUACUGUACUAAAUACUAUAGACAAUAGUCACAUACUGGUGAGUAUUUGCGUAUCAAAACAUAUCUAAAUAUAGAAAAGAUGCAGUAAAAAUAUGGUAUUACAAUCUUAUGAGACCACUAUAGUAUAUGAGGUCCAUCAUUGAUUAAAACAUAGUUAUAUGGUGCAUGACUGUAUAUAUGCAUUGUGGAAUGGUUAAAUCUAGCUAACUAACAAAUGUGUUAUAUCACAUAGUUAUUAUUUUUGAGGUGAGAAUACAAUAUUCACUCUCUUAGCAUUUUUUAAGAAUACAGUAUAUUAACUAUAGUCACCAUGCUGAAUGGUAGAUCUCUGGAACUAAUUUCUCCUAUCUAAGUGUGAUUAUGUACCCUUUGACCAACAUCUUUCUAACCCCACCCCACAAACACCCCAUAAUAAAGCCUCUUGUAACCACCA
rnacentral:lncRNA from 10 species